UAGGGGGAGCUAUCCCGGCGGGCCGCGCGUGCGGCCGCGUUUGAAUGGCCCUGAGUGGGCUCGGCCGGGGACCCGAGGGAUAGUCUGGGCUGCCGGGGCGCAGUCGGUCAGCGCCUGGGUUAGGCGGAGGCGCCGCGGUACCAUGAGGCGCAGGUAUUUAAGAGAUUAUGGCAUCUGAAACCCACAAUGUUAAAAAACGCAACUUUUGUAAUAAUAUUGAAGAUCAUUUCAUUGAUGUUCCUAGAAAAAGGAUCUCUAAUUUCACUAAUAAGAACAUGAAGGAGGUUAAGAAAUCUCCAAAACAGUUGGCUGCUUACAUAACUAGAACAGUUGGACAAGCUGUGAAAAGCCCAGAUAAACUACGUAAGGUGAUCUAUCACAGAAAGAAAGUUCAUCAUCCUUUUCAAAAUCCUUGCUACAGAAAAAAGCAGUCCCCCAACAGCGGGGGCUGUGACAUGGCAAAUAAAGAGAAUGAGCUGGCUUGUGCAGGCCGCCUCCCUGAGCAAGUGCGGCAGGGUAGUCGACCAUAUCUAGUUAGCCCCAGUGAUUCUGGUUCUUCACAGGCAGAAAGCCCAUCAUCAAAAUAUAGUGGGUUUUUUUCUGAGGUUUCUCAGGACCAUGAAACAAUGGCACAGGUUUUGUUCAGCAGGAAUUUGAGAUUGAAUGUAGCUUUAACUUUCUGGAGAAAGAGAAGUAUAAGUGAACUUGUAGCUUAUUUGGUGAGGAUAGAAGACCUUGGAGUUGUGGUGGAUUGCCUUCCUGUGCUCACCAAUAGUUUACAGGAGGAAAAACAAUACAUCUCACUUGGCUGCUGUGUAGACUUGUUGCCUCUAGUAAAGUCACUACUUAAAAGCAAAUUUGAAGAAUAUAUAAUAGUUGGUUUAAACUGGCUUCAAGCAGUCAUAAAAAGGUGGUGGUCAGAACUAUCAUCCAAAACAGAAAUUAUAAAUGAUGGAAAUAUUCAGAUUUUAAAACAACAAUUAAGUGGAUUGUGGGAACAGGAAAACCAUCUUACUUUGGUUCCAGGAUAUACUGGUAAUAUAGCCAAGGAUGUAGAUGCUUAUUUAUUACAGUUGCAUUGAGAGACUUCGUCUACUAAAUAGCAUUUGGUUAUUCAAAGCAUCCCUGGACUAUAUGAUUUCCCAAAAAAAUGUCAACCGAGAACUGUGAACUGUGGAAGAAGUCAAAACCAUUUUUUCCUUUAAAAAGCCACAUAAUGAAACCACUAAUGAAACGCUAAGGAUCUACUUCACAUUGAAGUGGAAAAAUAUCCAAAAGGAGCAGCUUCAACUUUAAUGAGGUCCUGGACCUGGCCAAGACGGUUGUGGCACUAUGGAUUUAUACAAAAGCUCAGAAGAGUUGAUCCAGCUAGAGUGAGAGUCCUGGGAUACACUGAAUUGCUACAAUUACUAGCUUCUAGAAUUACUGUAUUGCAUUUAUUAACCAAACUUGCAACAUGGGGCCUGGAUUGGAAUUAGACUUCACUUCCCAGAAGUCAGGAGCAGAAUUUACAUCCAUUUACUUUUCUACUUUCAUUUGAAAAAGAAAGUGAGGGGGAGGAGGAGAAAGAGAGAGAAAUGUAAAAACUUCAUUAGAUCUCUGCAUGAAUUAGUUGAACCAGUGAAUGAGGACCUGCGUCACCUCUCAUUUGCCCUGCAGUAACCCGCUGGUUCCUCACUGUACACCUGUAGCUUAGGCCCAACGGCAGCAAGAGAAAUGCAAGUUAACACCUUCCUUUUAGGUAGGUUCCAAAGCUUACAAAAGGUUUAGAAGAUGCUUAUCUUCCCCCCCUUUGCCAUCCAGAUUCCUUUCCCCUUACUUAGAAUAUAGAUGACAAGAAAUCAGUGAAGGGGAGAAACCAGUUCACUUUUCAAUCUCUUGAAGCCCCCCCCACCCCCGGCCUCUCCCUUAGAUAUAGGUAUUCUUCAAGGUUCUGUCUUAGGUUCUUUUCUCUUCUCCCUCUGCCAUUUCCCUGAAAAAAACAUUGUUUAUUCCCGUGGCAUCCUUUAUCAUCCACAUUAAUUGUUCUCAUUUGGGGAACAGAAGGGAGGUCAUUUUUUGACUGAUCAAAUAGGCAUGGAUCUUUUUUUUAAGGUUGAGAAAACACUGAAUUGUAUGUUUAUCAUUCUCAAAUGUAUAUCUUGCCCUAAACCCAACUCAGCACAUACACUAUAUAUCCAAUUGCCUACUGGAAACAUCCACUGGGAUUAUCUUGUAGACAUCCUAAAUAAAGUGUACCCAGAUUUGACCUCACCCUCCACCUCCACUCCCUUGCCCCGAACCUGCCCCCCAACCCCCUCUCCUACCACCACCCAGGGAGAUAGAAGUGUUGUGUCUGGGUCUUGGAUUUCCAUUCUUAUUGAGUAUUCCUAAUAUCAACAAUUAUCAAGCCACAACCCCAUGAGUCAUCUUUGAAUCAUCUCCAAAUCGCUCAUCACAUCCUGUUGGUACAACCCCCUAAAUUUCUCUCAUCUGCCGCAUCCCUCCACUUCUGCCAUUACUUAGUCUACAUUAUUCCAGCAGCCUCCUGACUGCCCUCUCUGGCAUUCGUCCUGCAUCCCUACAACCUAUUCUCCACACGUGCUCCCCCAGAAUAGUCUAUAGAGCACAAAUUUUACCGUGUCACUCCUUAAGGCCACUUAGGAGAGAGUCUAAACAGUAUGGUUUACAAUCUCGACAGUGCCACCUUUCUCCCUUCCCCUCCCGAUGCUCCAGCUAGAAUGAACUUGUUUCAGUUUCUGAAAAACAUUACACUUCUUCUGCAAGGGUUGUUUUCCUGAACACUCUUCUCCCAAAGUUCACCCAUUUAUCAUGUUCUUAGCCUUCAGGUCUCAGCUUAAACACAGUAUUUCUCGGAGACUUCUCUGAAGCCUCUUCAGCUAUUAGAGGUCUCUGCCACAAGUCUUUCACCUCAACCCUGUUUUUAACUCUGUAGUGUAUUGUAAUUGCUUAUUAUCUGUCUUCCCAGGUAGACUGAUAGCUUUAGGAGGCCAGGGUCUGUGUUCUCUGUCACAUCCCCAGUACCUAGCAUUUACCUAGCCUACCAGUAGUAGGCAUUUAAUUCUUAGGAAUAAAAAUGCAAGGGUGUGGCAUCUUUGGGCAUACACUGUGAGGAAGUAAUUUAGUAGUACAAAGCUAUUGUGUGAUAGCAUAGCAGCUAAAAAUGAGUAGUUAUAGAAUCAAAAUAUCCAAUUUUCUUCUCUCGCUUUUUUGUUUUAUGAAAUUGGUUUGUAAAUGUUCAUGCUGCA